UAGAAUGUAAUAAAUGGGCCUUUGUGCCUAUAAAUUUAUACAACUUUCAGCAACGGAUCUCUUGGUUCUCGCAUCGAUGAAGAACGCAGCGAAAUGCGAUAAGUAAUGUGAAUUGCAGAAUUCAGUGAAUCAUCGAAUCUUUGAACGCACCUUGCGCUCCUUGGUAUUCCGAGGAGCAUGCCUGUUUGAGUGUCAUUAAUAUAUCAACCUCUUCAAAUUUGUUUGUUGAGUGUUGGAUGUGGGGGGUAUUUCUUUUGCUGGUCUCUCUUUGAGGUCAGCUCCCCUAAAAUAUAUUAGCGGGACAAUUUGUUGACCGUUCAUUGGUGUGAUAACUAUCUACGCUAUUGAC
rnacentral:misc_RNA from 1 species